CAAACAAACAUGUAGUAACUCAAUUAAUACAGGGUCCACAGUAUGUAUAAAAAUUAUAUACAGAUUAUAAACAAAUUGUUAUGUCUUGUCAUAUCUUGUUCUUUCUUUUUACUCUGUCUCCCUCUGCUGGUCUUUUUAGGUUACUUUCUCUCUCCCCAGCUGUUCUUCAUCUUAUCUGACUACCUCGUUUACUCUCUUCCCACCUGUUCCCUUUUUUCCCCUCUGAUUACUCCCUUAUUUCUCCCUCUGUUUUUGCUGCCUCCUUUGUCAGAUUCUCGUUUGAGUUUCUCGCAAGAAGCAGACAAUUAUCCUGUCAGUCUCCGCUCUAGACCCGUCCAGUCUUGUCCUGUUGAGACCUGCCUGGUAACCCUUCCUGUUCUCUGUUUAUUGCUUUCACAUUUGUACUCUGUCCAGUUUUGCCUGAGGCCGAGAGAGAACCAUCCAUCCCUGUCUGCCCACUACCCGCGUCCACUUUGAGAGACCUGCGGUCGGUCGCCG
ensembl:lncRNA